GAGAGGCCCAAACGUUAUUCGGAAUUACUGGGCUUAAAGAGUUCGUAGGCGGCGCAGAAAGUAGGGUGUGAAAGCCCUCGGCUCAACCGAGGAAUUGCGCUCUAAACUACUGUGCUCGAGGAAUCUAGAGGUGAGCGGAACUGAUGGUGGAGCGGUGAAAUGCGUUGAUAUCAUCAGGGACACCGGAGGCGAAGGCGGCUCACUGGGGAUUUUCUGACGCUGAGGAACGAAAGCCAGGGGAGCGAACGGGAUUAGAUACCCCGGUAGUCCUGGCCGUAAACGAUGAGCACUAGACCGGAGAUCGCACAGGUUUUCGGUCGUAGAUAAAGUGUUAAGUGCUCCGCCUGGGGAGUAUGGUCGCAAGGGUG
rnacentral:rRNA from 1 species